GGCGCUGUAGUCUAGAGGCUUAGGACAUUGGGUUCUCAUCCCAAAAACCCGGGUUCAAAUCCCGGCAGCGUCACCC
rnacentral:tRNA from 2 species